rnacentral:lncRNA from 1 species
GUGGAGACCAAGAUUAAGUCUUUUUUUGGAUAUGGAAUAGACAAUCAUUUUGGGUUCUUUUGGCAUUGGAUGGAUUUUAGUUUUUUUGUUUUGUGGAGAUAGAUAGUUUUCCCGGUGCUAGGAAGUACCUCCUUGUCGCACCUCAUCGUCGGACCUUCUGGUUGGUGAGAAGUACUCCCCCUAAGGUAGGGAAAACCGGAAGGUACCUUACCUGGCUCUCCCGCACCAACUUCACCGGAGUUUGGAGAAGCCACAGGCCUACUUUUUGUAGAAACGACAGGUUUUAUUAUUAACAUUUACAUUUUCAAUUCUUUUACAUAACAUAUUUCAACUUUAACAUUUUUAAUAACAUAUAUAAUCUUAAUAAUCAUAUAAAUUCAUUUU